rnacentral:rRNA from 1 species
UGGGGAAUAUUGGACAAUGGGCGCAAGCCUGAUCCAGCAAUGCCGCGUGUGUGAAGAAGGCCUUCGGGUUGUAAAGCACUUUUAUCAGGAGCGAAACGCUGUCGGCUAAUACCCGGCGGAACUGACGGUACCUGAGGAAUAAGCACCGGCUAACUUCGUGCCAGCAGCCGCGGUAAUACGAAGGGUGCAAGCGUUAAUCGGAAUUACUGGGCGUAAAGCGUGCGUAGGCGGUUUCUUAAGUCUGCUGUGAAAUCCCCGGGCUCAACCUGGGAAUGGCAGUGGAUACUGGGAGGCUAGAGUGUGUCAGAGGGUGGUGGAAUUCCCGGUGUAGCGGUGAAAUGCGUAGAGAUCGGGAGGAACAUCAGUGGCGAAGGCGGCCACCUGGGACAACACUGACGCUGAGGCACGAAAGCGUGGGGAGCAGACAGGAUUAGAUACCCUGGUAGUCCACGCCCUAAACGAUGCGAACUGGAUGUUGGUCUCAACUCGGAGAUCAGUGUCGAAGCUAACGCGUUAAGUUCGCCGCCUGGGGAGUACGGUCGCAAGACUGAAACUCAAAGGAAUUGACGGGGUCAUAGCUGUUUCCUG